rnacentral:rRNA from 1 species
UACGGGGGGGGCAAGCGUUGUUCGGAAUUACUGGGCGUAAAGGGCUCGUAGGCGGCUUGCUAAGUCAGACGUGAAAGCCCUCGGCUCAACCGGGGAACGGCGUCUGAGACUGGCAAGCUGGAAUCCGGGAGAGGGAUGCGGAAUUCCAGGUGUAGCGGUGAAAUGCGUAGAUAUCUGGAGGAAUACCGGUGGCGAAGGCGGCAUCCUGGACCGGCAUUGACGCUGAGGAGCGAAAGCUAGGGGAGCGAAUGGG